rnacentral:lncRNA from 1 species
AAAGACUUAAUUGUCUAUGACUAGCCGGAGAUCUUACUACGAACUGAGCAAGCGAGCACACAAAGUUUGUGAAGGAGAGCAGAACCUCAUCUGAACCUCCUGUUCAAGAUGACAACACCAAACCACAAAAACCUCAUCUGAACCUCCUGUCCAAGAUGACAACACCAGAGCACAAAGACCUCAUCUGAAUCACUUGUUCACGAUGACAACAACCAAACCACAACACUCCAUAGGCCAAACAUAAAACCAGAGGGAACCACACCUGUAAAAUUUCAUCUUCAAUCGCCCCUUCAUCUGGACACCUCCACACUUCAACCUCAUUUUAUUGCUUCACGAGUUGAAG